ACUCAAAGGAAUUGACGGGGGCCCGCACAAGCGGUGGAACAUGUGGUUUAAUUCGACGCAACGCGAAGAACCUUACCUGGGCUUGAACUACAGAUGGUAGGUCCUUGGAAACAGGGGCCGACCCGCAAGGGAGUCUGCAGAGGUGCUGCAUGGUUGUCGUCAGCUCGUGUCGUGAGAUGUUGGGUUAAGUCCCGCAACGAGCGCAACCCCCAUCCAAUGUUGCUAAUCCCGUAAGGGAUGCACUCUUUGGAAACUGCCUUCGAUAAGAAGGAGGAAGGUGGGGACGACGUCAAAUCCUCAUGGCCCUUAUGUCCAGGGCCACACACGUGUUACAAUGGCCGGUACAGUGGGAAGCAAUACCGUAAGGUGGAGCCAAACCUCAAAGCCGGCCCCAGUUCAGAUUGUGGGCUGCAACUCGCCCACAUGAAGGCGGAAUCGCUAGUAAUCGCUGAUCAGCAGGCAGCGGUGAAUACGUUCCCGGGCCUUGCACACACCGCCCGU
rnacentral:rRNA from 1 species